UAAACAGCGAGUGGAUCAGCAGUAUGAAAGCCAACAACACGUUUACCCAGGGCCAAGCAAGAUUGUGAUGAGGCAGUUUAUCGAUUAUGGUUUCAACAACUAAUGCCGGAAGGUUUCUGCAUUGCUCGUAUUGACCGUGGUGGAUCGUUUGCUGCUUGUAGAGGCUAUGAUUUCGGAAACGAGACAGGACAUACAAGCCAAAAUAAUGCUGGAAAGCCAGGGUAGGCCAAUAUUUCCAGUGACUGUAUCGACGAGGGAUGAACUUUAUGCAAUGAUGAUGCAGACGCUCUGUUCGCCGCAAGAUGCAGCUAACCCUAUGAUACAGGACGAGCAGCAAGCUAGGAAGCAGGUUUACUCCAUGGUAGCUCGAUAAAUGCAGUGUUUGCGAUUUUGUUGAAUUCGAGUUCAUCGGGGAAGAUUAUCCUGUUUGCAAGCAAGACGGUUUUUGGAACACGCGAAGAAACUAUUCCAGAAAAACUGCUGAGAUUGUUAAAAUAAAUCCUCUGUUUGAAUUCGA